GAUGAACGCUAGCUACAGGCUUAACACAUGCAAGUCGAGGGGUAACGAGAGGAAAGCUUGCUUUCCUUGUCGACGACCGGCGCACGGGUGAGUAACGCGUAUCCAACCUGCCCCCAACUAGGGAAUAACCUUGCGAAAGUAAGACUAAUACCCUAUAAUUUCCUCAGAUGACAUCUGACGAGGAAUAAAGAUUUAACGGUUGUGGAUGGGGAUGCGUCUGAUUAGCUUGUUGGCGGGGUAACGGCCCACCAAGGCAACGAUCAGUAGGGGUUUUGAGAGGAAGGUCCCCCACAUUGGAAGUGACACACGGUCCAAACUCCUACGGGAGGCAGAAGUGAGGAAUAUUGGUCAAUGGGCGGAAGCCUGAACCAGCCAAGUAGCGUGAAGGAUGACGGCCCUAUGGGUUGUAAACUGCUUUUAUACAGGAAUAAAGUUAGCCACGUGUGGUUAUUUGUAGGUACUGUAUGAAUAAGGACCGGCUAAUUCCGUGCCAGCAGCCGCCGUAA
rnacentral:rRNA from 1 species